rnacentral:rRNA from 1 species
AUUGAACGCUGGCGGCAGGCCUAACACAUGCAAGUCGAACGAGUGGCGGAGUGGUGAGUAAUGUCUGGGAACCUGCCUGAUGGAGGGGGAUAACUACUGGAAAAGGUAGAUAAUGCCGCAUACCAUGCUAUGUGCCCAGAUGGGAUUAGCUGGUUGGUGGGGUAACGGCUCACCAAGGCGUCGAUCCCUAGCUGGUCUGAGAGGAUGACCAGCCACACUGGGACUGAGACACGGUCCAGACUCCUACGGGAGGCAGCAGUGGGGAAUAUUGCACAAUGGGCGCAAGCCUGAUGCAGCCAUGCCGCGUGAAUGAAGAAGGCCUUCGGGUUGUAAAGGACUUUCGGCGGGGAGGCGUUACCCGCCGAAGAAGCACCGGCUAACUCCGUGCCAGCAGCCGCGGUAAUAC